ensembl:lncRNA LINC01276 long intergenic non-protein coding RNA 1276
ACAGAUGAGUAAACUGAGGGUUAGAGCAGUAAUGUGACUUUCCUAAAGACAGACACAGCUAGCUAGUGGCCCAGCUGAGGCCACAGCCCCGUCACCAGACUUGAUUAGAUCUCUGUCAACCACAUCCCAGCAGCCAAAUGCUCCCUCCUUUUGCCCUCCUGCGGGGCCACGCAGCACACACCACAACCCCUUGGUCCACUGUGGUCUAGGCAAGAGCAGAAGAGUCCAAAAGCAGAUGACUAUCAUCUUCCAUUUGUCUUGGGACAGAAGACCCAUAUUAGGCACUGUCUUGGUCCAGCUGGGAUGCCAUUCUCCCAUUCUCUCAGAAGUCAGAAGUCAAGGGUCAGGGCACCACCAAGGUCUUCAGGGACAGAAGCCCAGGCAAGAGGACAGAUGGAGAGGUGCCUGAGGACACCUUCAAACCUUCUCUGCUCCGUUGUAGAACUUUUUCCAGCAAGGGGGAGAGGAAGGACAAAAGGCUAUGCCUUGGGCUCCAAAGUUUAGGAGAGGAGCCAUGGAGAUGGACAGAGAGAGAUCCCAUUGUCUCUGGACACUGCUGGCCAAGGGCCUCCACCUCAGGAGCUGCUGCCUCUCAUCCACUUCCGGGGCGAGGGUAAUGGAAGCUCCCUACCGCCAAGCACCACGACCCUCCCCUGCCUUCUCCAGGCCUAAGGGUCAAGCUGCCAGGCCACCAGGCAGUGCCAGAUGGACAAUUCGAGGCUGAGAGAGUUACAUGAUUUAUCCAAAGUCACACACGUGCACAGGUGGUGGAGCUGAGGUGCAGAUUCAGGCUUGACUUCAAAACCAGGGCUCUCGCUCCAACAGUAGGCUGCAACGGCUUGAAGGACAAUGAUACUUACAGCAUGCCUACUGUGUGCAAAAUGCCAUGCUGAAGGCUGUCAGGGCUUGAAAGGUGAUGAUUCAGCAGAGGAUGCUGUUUGUGCCUCACCCCGUGUCCUCUAGCCCACUUCUCCACUCAUCUGCCACCGUGAUGGGAAGGUGUCAGCAAGCCCAGGAAUUGUCCACCCUAAGCAGCCUUUCUGCUUCUCACCUGCAGAGUUUCUCCAGUGCAGGGACCAAGAGAGCUUUACUCAGCCCACAGGACAGCUGGGAUUUAGCACUGCAGGGGCAACCCUCAAGUUAUUAAUAAGAGAUAAGAAUGGGUGGAUAAGCAACCUGGCUGCCUUGGAACUCCGUGGGACAAUUCCAUGGUGUGUUCUCACAGUUCCUCAGUGGGCCCCCAUUGCCCACAAUGAAACUCGAUCAUUAACCACUCUUCACUGGCUUUUCUCCUAACCCAUCCCUAUCUCACUUCCCCUUUCCCUCCCUCCAGCCUCCAGGGAUCACCUCCUCAGUAAACUACCUGCACCCAA